GACCAUUCUAGUAGCCUAGUGGUUAGAGUGUCUGCCUCAGAUGCAAGAGGUUAUGGUUUGAACCCUAGCUGAGUCA